UCGAAACCUGCAAAGCAGACCCGUGAACAUGUUCAAAUAUAUUGUGGUCGUGAUUUUGGAUCAUUUGCAUCCCAACAUCAUGGCCUGCCACCCCAAGCGGCGCAAGUCUCUUGGGCGUACUAACCACUCGGCGCGGCAAGCGCCAAGGAAAACGAAACCGAUCGCCUCUUCAUGUGUCGGUGCACUUUAUGCGGUGCCUGAUAUGUGUAGGAGCAUCUAUCAAAAUAGUCUAAACGACUCUCGGCAACGGAUAUCUCGGCUCUCGCAUCGAUGAAGAACGUAGCGAAAUGCGAUACUUGGUGUGAAUUGCAGAAUCCCGUGAACCAUCGAGUCUUUGAACGCAAGUUGCGCCCAAAGCCAUCAGGCUGAGGGCACGUCUGCCUGGGCGUCACGCAUCUCGUCGCCCCCCAAAACAUCGUAUUUCCCCACAUGCUGUUGGGAAAUGACGCAUGUAAUGUGUGGGGUGGAAAUUGGCCUCCCGUUAUCAUUGUGUAGCGGCCGGCCCAAAAAGGAAACCGUGCCGAUGGAUGUGACACGAUACGUGGUGGUUGGAUUCUCAACUUGUGAACUAUCGUGCUCGACUAAUAUCGUGCUACGGUCACGACCCAAUGGCAUAAAAUGCCCUCGACUGU
rnacentral:rRNA from 1 species